rnacentral:lncRNA from 1 species
GCCUACUUUUUAUGUCCAUUCCUACGGCUGCAGGGCCAUGUCCUGUGAUUGGCAGCUCCUCAGAACCACAUGGAGUGGAAGAGCUGUUCCUAGAAAUAGGGUGCUUGUUAUUCUGAGAGGACAAGAAUGACAGCCACGUCAUCUGGAGAAGGCAGCCAGGGAAGUUGUUGGCCAAGCUUUGCUGGCUUUUUUGCAGCUUUCUGUUCCCGCAAGUUACUCCCCCAAAUCCUACCUAUUUUAAAAGCAACUCUCACAGGAAGAAAGGCUUGGUAGCCAACAGAUGACCACCACAUUCUCUCCCCCAAGACGUCUGAUUUCAGAAGGCAAAAAUUCAAGAAUGAAUAUUUACUGCCUAUAUCUGACAGAAGAAUCCCAUUUCUCAUGAGAAAAUCAAUGGAUAAUACUCAGCGUUUCUUCAAAACCAAAACUUCCUUUAUCAAAACCUGUAGAACACAGGUUUCAGCAAACUUCGUAAAAUAUUCAGAUCAAAUUUGGGUUUGUUAUUGAUUUUCAGGGGGAUUAAUCUCUUUUAUAUUAAAAGCUCAUUUGGUCACAA